rnacentral:rRNA from 1 species
GACGAACGCUGGCGGCGUGCUUAACACAUGCAAGUCGAGCGGUAAGGCCCUUUCGGGGGUACGACGAGCGGCGAACGGGUGAGUAACACGUGGGUGACCUGCCCUCAGCUCUGGGAUAAGCCUGGGAAACCGGGUCUAAUACUGGAUAUGACUCCAUGACGCAUGUUGUGGGGUGGAAAGCCUUGUGCGGCUGAGGAUGGGCCCGCGGCCUAUCAGCUUGGUUGGUGGGGUGAGGCCUACCAAGGCGACGACGGGUAGCCGGCCUGAGAGGGCGACCGGCCACACUGGGACUGAGACACGGCCCAGACUCCUACGGGAGGCAGCAGUGGGGAAUUGUUCACAAUGGGCGCAAGCCUGAUGACGCAACGCCGCGUGGAGGAUGAAGGUCUUCGGA